UGGGGAAUUUUGGACAAUGGGCGAAAGCCUGAUCCAGCAAUGCCGCGUGUGUGAAGAAGGCCUUCGGGUUGUAAAGCACUUUUGUCCGGAAAGAAAUCCUUGGCUCUAAUACAGUCGGGGGAUGACGGUACCGGAAGAAUAAGCACCGGCUAACUACGUGCCAGCAGCCGCGGUAAUACGUAGGGUGCAAGCGUUAAUCGGAAUUACUGGGCGUAAAGCGUGCGCAGGCGGUUUGCUAAGACCGAUGUGAAAUCCCCGGGCUCAACCUGGGAACUGCAUUGGUGACUGGCAGGCUAGAGUAUGGCAGAGGGGGGUAGAAUUCCACGUGUAGCAGUGAAAUGCGUAGAGAUGUGGAGGAAUACCGAUGGCGAAGGCAGCCCCCUGGGCCAAUACUGACGCUCAUGCACGAAAGCGUGGGGAGCAAACAGGAUUAGAUACCCUGGUAGUCCACGCCCUAAACGAUGUCAACUAGUUGUUGGGGAUUCAUUUCCUUAGUAACGUAGCUAACGCGUGAAGUUGACCGCCUGGGGAGUACGAU
rnacentral:rRNA from 1 species